AGUAUCCCCACUCACGUGUUCCUUUCUUCUUUCCUUCCACCAGGCCCUAAUCCCCCUCCCCAGCCAUGUCCUAGUCCCCAGGGCUUGUGGCCUGGAGAAGAAGUCACUGCAAGCCCCAAGAGGCUUCUCAAAUCCGACCUCUCUGCUCUGGCUCUCCUGCUCAGGUGACCCCACCUGAGCAAUGAGGAGCCUGAGUUUCAUGUAAAUAUUUAAUGAAGUUUCCAACCCGAUAGUAUAUCUCCCUGGGCUCUGUCCUGUACGCAUUUACAGCUGUUUGGAACCAGGACACCUGCUUUCCUUGGAACUCUAGCAGGGAGGAGAUCACUGAGCAGAUAUGGUCAGAUCCCUCCAAGAGCGCAUCCUCCAAUUUUGCUGACGUGCCAAGUUUUUCUCUUGGAAUUCCCUCAUGUCUUAGUGCUUUUCCGUGUUAAAGUACAAACACCUCUAAGGAAAAUAUGGUCAGUCUUUUUAACUAUGCUUUCUCUUUUAGAUCUUGCUUUGGGAGGAGGAUUUGAUGGGGAGGAGGAGAAGGAGGGAGGGAGAGAGUUACUUUGUAGGUCUGAAAAGCUGGAAAGUAUCAGAUAAGGUGAGCAAGGCUCAGGGAGGGAGAGAACUAGAUACGAAGGGCAGAGAUGAAUGUCCUCGUUAGGCAAUGCUCCUAUGCUUCCCUUGAGCCCGGCCUCCUCAUCUUGGAACCAGCGUGGGACUCCUCACAUCAGCCACCUCACAGCAAUCCCCAGGGUCUGACUUCUGCACAGUCUACUGCCUCGCGCCACACAUCUGCCCCCUGUUCCUGGAGCCCACACAAGCAGACGAUUUUGGUUUCUCCUAAGCCAUAACAAAGGUCUCAUCCCCUUUACUGGAUUCCAGAAGAAACCUGAUCACACCAAAAAUUCACGUGCUGUGUAGUCUUUCCUGAAUUCAUAGGAAUCAGCCUCAGAGCUCAUUAGCCACACAGAUAGUGCUCAGAACUUGACUUGAAAAGCAUCCUGCCCAGCACUUGUUUAUUCCACCUUUUUGUCCAAAUUUCUUGAAAGGGAGUCUUUUUCUCUAUCCAAGACCUUUCCCAUAAGGAUUUUAAUUCUUCGCUUCUUUGCACAUUGGCAAGUCCUUUAGUAUACAGACAAGCUUGGAAAUCAUUGUUAUUCAGAAUUUUGUUUUUCGUUUUCAAGGGCCUUGCUAUCCUGCCCAGUCUCAAAUGCGAAAGGGGGAUAAUGUGUUCCUCUUUUCCUCAGCCCACUGGGUUUGAGUAACUCUUUUAAUUCUUUGAAGUCUGUCGCAACAGAACUUCCUGGCCAUCAUCUGAUUAGGACUGUGGUAAGUAGAGUGUUCUUAGGGUGAUGUGGGACAGUGAGAAUAGCUCCCUUAUAGUAAAUGCACCAAUGUGUGGCGGGUAUCACAUCAAUGCUUCACAGAUAGGGAAAAUUACAUCACUCAUUCCUCACAGGGGAUCUUGAGGGAGGAAUUGUUACUAGUUCUGUGUCAUGAAACGUAUGGUUUCUUUAACAACUCAGUUACAUUAUGUAAGUAGGUUUUUGUUUUAAUCCCAAGUAUGGGGUUUUAGUUUGGGCUUUAUGUCCCACAGCUGAUAAUUGCCUCCUGCAGGGCAUGAUGUUUGCCAGCUGAUAAAGGCCUGCCUCAUGGUAGCACGGAUAGGGGCGUGGUCUAGGGCUCUGAGGUACAUCCUUAGGAGAGUCCAGAAAGAGAAGGUGUGGCAGUUUGGAGAGACCAGAGAUGGAGGUGUGGCAUUUUGGAGAGACACUGGGAAGAUGCUUCGGGGUGCAGCUCCUUGGAGGAGAGAGCCGGAGGAGAAUGCUUGCUGAGUUUGUUGAUGAGAUCCUUCCAGGAAAUCUCCUCACAGACCCCCCAGAAGCAGGAAUCUUAGUUGAUUCAAGGUCCAAUCAAGCUGACAAUCAAGAUCCUUGAGGAUGCUAAAAUUUAUUUAACAUCAGUGUGAACUUAUUCCUUUGUUUCUUUGUAUUUGUCUAAAAUGAUCAUAUAUAUGUUUGUAGAUUAUUUCAGGCUACAGCACACAAAAUAAAUAGCACAAAGAGAGGCCACAGUGGGAACACAGCUCUACACAAUUCAGGAUAAUGUGGUAAAGUAUUCUUCAUUCACUAAAGCCAUUAGCAGUGUGCUAAUUCAUCAACCAAAGAGUACACUAACUAAGUUAUUGCAUCAUUUGUAAGCUGCAGGCACCAAGUGGAAUUGGCCAAAGAGAGAACACGUGUGUGCUGUAAGUAUCAGGACCACAGAGGCAGGGCUGCCCAGGCCCAUUGAGGUUCACAUUAUGUCUCUAUAUGCCCUCGAUGCUGGAAAUAGAGUGUGUUGGUUUAAAUGAGAUGUUCCAGAUUUGCAAAAGAUUAGAUUGUAUGGAGGCCAGAAGCUUUCGGGCCUAGGAAUUGUUAUAUAGAAAUGGCUGGGCUCACCACUAUGGUUGGUGCUUGCUGUCAUGCUUUCCUGUCAUGGUACUGGUGAACUCUUAUUCCUCUAGAACUAUAAGCCUUGAAUAAACUGUUCCUUCUUGUCUUAGUUAGGGUUUUAUUGCUAUGAAGAGACACCAUGACCAUGGCAAUUUUUAUAAAGGAAAACAUUUAGUUGGGGCUGGCUUACCGUUUCAGAGGUUUCAUCCAUGAUCAUCAUGCUGGGAAGCACGGCAGCAUCCAGCAGACCUGGUCCUGGAGAAGGAGCUGAGAGCUCUACAUCUUGAUUUGCAAGCAACAGAAGGGGACUGUGCGCCACACUGGAGCUUAUAGGAGACCUCAAAGCCUGCUCACACAGUGUCACAGUUCCUCCCACAAGGCCACACCUUCUAAUAAUGUCACUCCCUAUAGGCCAAGCACUCAUACACAUACGUUUAUGGGGGUCAUUCCUAUUCGAGCCACCAAACUUCUACAAGUUGCCUUGGUCAUGGCAGAUUAUCACAGCAACAGAAAAGAGACUCGAGAUUCUUAAACAGUGCUGGGUUUAUUAAAACUACAGAUGUUUUUAAAGUUUUUAAACUACAGAAUGCAUUUUACCUUAUGAGAGGGCCCUAAGCCUUUGGGGCCAGUAAUGGAACGUUAGGAUUUUAUUUCACAGCUCAGUUUUAAAUGUUUGGUGCCUAGAUUCAACACAAUUUUUAAGGCUGUGGAGCUUUUAGCAGAAGGAGCCUUGAUGGCAGAAUUAAACCACCGAGGGUAGGCCUUUGAAGGCUGUACCUGCCCCUGGUUCUGGCCUAUAGGAUGUGAACACACACUCUUACCACGAGGAUCUGAGUCAUGAUGCUGUGCUCCCUUGUCAUGAAGGACUGUGACCCUCUGAAACUGUGAGCCAAAAUAAACUGUCCUCUUUAAGUUG